GGGGCUAUAGCUCAGCUGGGAGAGCGUCUGAAUGGCAUUCAGAAGGUCAGGAGUUCGAUCCUCCUUAGCUCCA
rnacentral:tRNA from 1 species